UACGUAGGGCGCAAGCGUUAUCCGGAAUUACUGGGCGUAAAGCGCACGUAGGCGGUUAUUCAAGUCAGAGGUGAAAGCCCGAGGCUCAACUCCGGAAUUGCCUUUGAAACUAGAUAACUUGAAUCCAGGAGAGGUGAGUGGAAUUCCGAGUGUAGAGGUGAAAUUCGUAGAUAUUGGGAAGAACACCGGUGGCGAAGGCGGCGCUCUGGACCGAGACUGACGCUGAGGCGCGAAAGCGUGGGGAGCAAACAGG
rnacentral:rRNA from 1 species